AUUGAACGCUGGCGGCAGGCCUAACACAUGCAAGUCGAACGAGUGGCGGACGGGUGAGUAAUGUCUGGGAAACUGCCUGAUGGAGGGGGAUAACUACUGGUAACGGUAGCUAAUACCGCAUACCAUCGGAUGUGCCCAGAUGGGAUUGGCUAGUAGGUGGGGUAAAGGCUCACCUGGGAGACGAUCCCUAGUUGGUCUGAGAGGAUGACCCGCAACACUGGAAGUGAGACACGGUCCAGACUCCUACGGGAGGCAGCAGUGGAGAAUAUUGCACAAUGGGCGCAAGCCUGAUGCAGCCAUGCCGCGGGUAUGAAGAAGGCCUUCGGGUUGUAAAGUACGUUCAGCGGGGAGGCGUUACCCGCAGAAGAAGCACCGGCUAACUCCGUGCCAGCAGCCGCGGUAAUUC
rnacentral:rRNA from 1 species